UAGAGCUCAGAUUUUUUUGGGAGGCAGAGACAGCGUGAAACUGCAAGAUGAAGGCAGCGAAUUGCGUGACACUCCUCGUGUUUCUCUCCCUGUCUGUGCAGAGGAGGAUGGCACAGGCGGCAGCUUUGCCAACUCCAUCAGGUACGGAUGUCUGUCCUCCAACAGAGGACGGAGUGCUGGGAAGCUGCGGCAUCACCUGUGAGCAAGAUGAAGCGUGCACAGAUAAUAUGACCUGCUGCCCUAACACUUGUGGGACGAAAUCCUGCACAAAGAUAGAUUAUCCUAUUACAGAACUACCUCUAGUAUCUGGAAAUAAGACUACAGUAACAGCUUCCUCUGCAAGCAAUUACACCUUUAAUUAAAAAAAUAUAUAACGCCACCUAAUACUGGACUCAGUCGUAGAAUCUAAAUGAAGGCAAAGAGGAGAAUAAACCUGUUGCAAAUCAUGAUUAAAGGGAAUCUGUCAGAAGUUUUAACCAUGCUAAACUGCUGACAGCACUAGAUUGCAGCUGGGCAAGGACAAACAUACUGUACCUUUUAUUAUCAGGAGUAGUUUGAAUAUUACGUUUUAGUCUGCCAGGUUCUGCUCCCAUGAGGUUGGCUUGAAUGUGAACUGCUCUCACCGUUAAUAAAAAAAAAAAAAUAUAUAUAUAUUAUAUAAUGCCACCUAAUACUGGACUAAGUCGUGGAAGCUAAAUGAAGGCAAAGAGGGUAAUGUCAUGAGUGAGAAUAUACCUGCGGCAAAUCAUGAUUGAAGUCUGUCAGCAGUUCUAACCAUUAUAAACGCUGACAGCACUAGAUAGCAUCUGGCAAGAGCAGAUAAACAUACUGUACCUUUUGUGAAACUUUUAUUAUCAUAAGUAGCUUGAACAUUAAGUGUUAUUCUGCCAGGUUCUGCUCCUUCAGCACCCAUGAGGUGGGGCUUCACUAUGAAGUGCUCUCCGCAUUGAGCUGUUUCACAGUCUCACCCCUCCGCUCUAAGUGACAGCUGUAAAUUUCUCCUGGUUGGAUGAUACAGUUGCCACUCAAUGCAGAGGGGUGGGGCUGUGAAGUAGCUCAAUGCAUAGAGCACUGAAGCUCAACCUGCUGGACACUUGCAAAAGCAGAAUCUAGACAAUCAGAAGAGUUCCACAACAGGUUUGCUUGUCCUGCUUUCCCCAGCCCCUACCUAGUGCCGUCUGCAGAUAAGCGUUGCCAAAACUGCCGAUAGAUUCCCUUUACAAGGUUUUUCCAGGCUACAGAUAUUGAUGAUUUAUAUCAGAUUAUGGGGGUUCAACACACCAACAGAGCUGUUUGCAGCAGCUGCUGGCACCAGAACUAACACAAAAGAAGUAGGCAGAAGGACAUAUCAUGCUGGGUUACUGCAGCUCAGCUCCCAUGCUCUGUGCUAGUUUCGGCACCUUGCAUUAACAGCUGUUUUGGCAGGAUACCUGGAUAACUACAACUCAUGUCUGGAAUGAACAGGUCCUAAUAAGAAAUGACUUACUGCGUAACUCAUUAUCAUAACUAUCCAUUGAUUGGGACCAGCUCAUUCCCACCUCUGUGGACCCCUACGAAUGAGAUCCUUAUGACCUCUAAUGGUUCUACUGCAGACUUUUAUAGCGAAAAAAGCAGAACUGUCUGAAAUCCUCAGCAGAUACUGGUUCGUCAGGGGACAAAUAGAUAUUAAACUAAAACGGGACCUUCUGAUAUAGAUCCUUAUCCGGAUGGCUAGACCUCCAAAAAUCAGGACAUCUGUAGUCCCUGAGAUAGGGACACUCAAGGAGACCUGGACUUUGAUGUAGGCUCUAGGAUGAAAGGCGUGUUUUUUCUCUUACAACACGUUUAAUUAUCUUUGUACAUUUAUUUUGCCUCAGUGUAGGUGAUUACUAGAAUAGGUACGAGGACAGGGAACCUUCACCAUUAGGGGGCGUCCCUGGGCUGAGGGUUAGUCAGGGUGGAAUAGGGAUAGAGUAGUAAAACCUAAACCAAUCGUCAAAGAUCU